rnacentral:misc_RNA from 1 species
ACAAACUUGGUCAUUUAGAGGAAGUAAAAGUCGUAACAAGGUCUCCGUAGGUGAACCUGCGGAGGGAUCAUUACAGAGUUCAUGCCCUCUCGGGCAGAUCUCCCACCCACUGUAAUCGUUACCGUGUUGCUUUGGCAGGCCGCUGGGCUACAAGCCUGGCCACCGGCUCCGGCUGGCGCGCGCCUGCCAGAGGUUCUCUAAACUCUGAGUAUCGUGUCGUCUGAGUACUAUGUAAUAGUUAAAACUUUCAACAACGGAUCUCUUGGUUCUGGCAUCGAUGAAGAACGCAGC